rnacentral:misc_RNA from 1 species
GAUGAAGAACGUAGCGAAAUGCGAUACGUAGUGUGAAUUGCAGAAUUCAGUGAAUCAUCGAAUCUUUGAACGCACAUUGCACCUCUCGGUAUUCCGGGAGGUAUGCCUGUUCGAGCGUCAUUUGUACCCUCAAGCUCUGCUUGGUGUUGGGUGUUUGUUCCGCCUCUGUGUGUGAACUCGCCUCAAAACAAUUGGCAGCCGGCGUACUUGUUUCGGAGCGCAGCACAUUUUGCGAUCCAGAUCAACGUACAGCGGCAUCCAAGAAGCCUUAUUUAACGCUCUUGACCUCGGAUCAGGUAGGGAUACCCGCUAAACUUAAGCAUAUCAAUAAGCGGAGGA